UGGGCGUAAGGAUGCGUAGGCUGGAAAUCAAGUCGAGAGUGAAAUCCAACGGCUCAACCGUUGAACUGCUCUCGAAACUGGUUACCUAGAAUAUGGGAGAGGUAGAUGGAAUUGGUGGUGUAGGGGUAAAAUCCGUAGAUAUCACCAGGAAUACCGAUUGCGAAGGCGAUCUACUGGAACAUUAUUGACGCUGAGGCAUGAAAGCGUGGGGAGCAAACAGGGUUAGAUACCCUGGUAGUCCACGCCCUAAACGAUGCACACUAGUUGUUGCGAUGCUAGUCAUUGCAGUAAUGCACUUAACAGAUUAAGUGUGCCGCCUGGGGAGUACGGUCGCAAGAUUAAAACUCAAAGGAAUAGACGGGGACCCGCACAAGCGGUGGAGCAUGUGGUUUAAUUCGAAGAUACACGAAGAACCUUACCUGGGCUUGAUAUCCUAAGAAUCCUGUAGAGAUAUGGGAGUGCUAGUUUACUAGAACUUAGAGACAGGUGCUGCACGGCUGUCGUCAGCUCGUGUCGUGAGAUGUUGGGUUAAGUCCCGCAACGAGCGCAACCCUCGUGAUUAGUUGCUAACAGUUCGGCUGAGCACUCUAAUCAGACUGCCUUCGCAAGGAGGAGGAAGGUGAGGACGACGUCAAGUCAUCAUGGCCCUUAUGCCCAGGGCUACACACGUGCUACAAUGGCUAGGACAAAGAGAAGCGAUACUGCGAAGUGGAGCAAAUCUUAAAACCUAGUCUCAGUUCGGAUUGGAGUCUGCAACUCGACUCCAUGAAGCUGGAAUCGCUAGUAAUCGUAGAUCAGAUAUGCUACGGUGAAUACGUUC
rnacentral:rRNA from 1 species